CUGACUCCUCGUUGUCUGGAGAGUUCGUUGGUCUAGCUAUUACCAAUUAUUCUAACUAUUCUUCUCUUCUCCAUUCAUUCCGAUUCAACUAUUGCAAGAAACGUUAAAUGGAAAUUUUGACAACUGAA
rnacentral:lncRNA from 1 species